rnacentral:rRNA from 1 species
AGCCGCGAGGCAGAGNGAACCCCAAAAAGACCGUCCCAGUUCGGAUCGCAGGCUGCAACCCGCCUGCGUGAAGUCGGAAUCGCCAGUAAUCGCGGAUCAGCAUGCCGCGGUGAAUACGUUCCCGGGCCUUGUACACACCGCCCGUCACACCAUGAGAGUCGGGAACACCCGAAGUCCGUAGCCUAACAGCAAUGAGGGCGCGGCCGAAGGUGGGUUCGAUAAUUGGGGUGAAGUCGUAACAAGGUAGC